GAUGAAGAACGUAGCGAAAUGCGAUAAGUAGUGUGAAUUGCAGAAUUCAGUGAAUCAUCGAAUCUUUGAACGCACAUUGCGCCCUUUGGUAUUCCUUAGGGCAUGCCUGUUCGAGCGUCAUUUCAAACUUCAAGCCCCCCUCAUGGCUUGGUGUUGGGCGUCUGUCCUGCCGGGACUCGCCUCAAAUGCAUUGGCAGCCGGUACGUUGGCUUCGAGCGCAGCAGAAACGCGCGCGGCGUCCGACGGUGCCUGGCUCUCCAGGAAGCCUCCACCCCAAGUUUGACCUCGGAUCAGGUAGGGAUACCCGCUGAACUUAAGCAUAUCAAUAAGCGGAGGA
rnacentral:misc_RNA from 1 species